rnacentral:rRNA from 1 species
GGGGAAUAUUGGGCAAUGGGCGCAAGCCUGACCCAGCAACGCCGCGUGAGGGAAGAAGGCUUUCGGGUUGUAAACCUCUGUCCUUGGUGACGAAAAAAAUGACGGUAGCCAAGGAGGAAGCCCCGGCUAACUACGUGCCAGCAGCCGCGGUAAUACGUAGGGGGCGAGCGUUGUCCGGAAUUACUGGGCGUAAAGGGUGCGUAGGUGGCCUUUUAAGUUGGAUGUGAAAUACCCGGGCUUAACCUGGGGGGUGCAUCUAAUACUGGGAGGCUAGAGUGCAGGAGAGGAAAGCGGAAUUCCUAGUGUAGCGGUGAAAUGCGUAGAUAUUAGGAGGAACACCAGUGGCGAAGGCGGCUUUCUGGACUGUAACUGACACUGAGGCACGAAAGCGUGGGGAGCAAAC